CAAACACAAUACUGUCCGCCAGAGAACUACAAGCGAAAAACUAGAAACUCCAAGGACUUGGCGGUGCUCCACACCAACCUAGAGGAGCCUGUCCUAUAAUCGAUACUCCACGUUAAACCUUACCAUCUUUUGCCAUUCAGCCUAUAUACCGCCGUCGUCAGCCUACCUUAUGAAAGAGCUAUAGUAAGCAAAAUAGUUAACAACUAACACGUCAGGUCAAGGUGUAGCACAUGAGGUGGUAGAGAUGGGCUACAUUUUCUAUUACAGAACACACAAAUGGCACAAUGAAACAAGCGCCUGAAGGUGGAUUUAGUAGUAAGAUAGACAAGCAACACUAUCUUAAACCCGCUCUGGAGCGCGCACACACCGCCCGUCACCCUCAUCAC
rnacentral:rRNA from 1 species